rnacentral:rRNA from 1 species
GACCAGAGUGGACGAACCUCUGGUGUACCGGUUGUGACGCCAGUCGCAUCGCCGGGUAGCUAUGUUCGGAAGGGAUAACCGCUGAAAGCAUCUAAGCGGGAAGCCUACCUCAAGAUAAGAUUUCCCCGUGACUUUAUGUCACCUAAAGAGCCGUUCAAGACCAGGACGUUGAUAGGUUGGAUGUGGAAGCAUAGUGAUAUGUGAAGCUGACCAAUACUAAUUGCUCGUGAGGCUUGACUAUACAACACCCAAACAGUUG